rnacentral:lncRNA from 1 species
ACUACUUCUGCGCCUGCGCGACCGUGAUUCCCCGCUCGCGACUCCCCACCCCCCAGGGCUCCCUAAAGAGGGCCACGAGCUGCGAAAGGGCGGGAAAGGCAGUUGGAGAAGAGGUAAGCGGUUACUCACUCCAUGGCUGCAGCAAGGAGAGGCGGCGGCGGCCUCGGCUGAAGAAAGAAGGUGGGAGCGGAGAGCGCAGGCGUGGUGAGCGCGGAGACGGGCCGGGGGCACAAAGGGGUCGAGGCUACAGAGCCAUGGCCGGGGCUACGCAGGCAGAGGCGGCGACACUGUAGUGAGAAGAGACUGUGAUCCGAGGACAGGGAAUGAGGGGCAGGCGGUUAGCUGGCGGUGCAGGGCCUCGGCGCGGGUCAGCACGUCCUCCACGCUCAGCUUCAUAGUCAGCUCGUUGAUGUGCUGCGGGAGGGGGUGGGUCAGGCGCCAGUCGGCACUCAACCACCUCCGCCCGAGCGCCCACUCUGUGCUUCGUGCUUGAGGAUCUCAUUGGAGCCGAAGCCGGACAGCAUGAGGGUGUCCCUCUCCAUGUCCAGGAUGGCGCAGGCCACCAGCAGGUGCAGAUUGGGGCCAGGGAGCCCUGUCCACAGCACCUCCCACAGCCGAAGGACAUCCGGGAAGGGGAAUUCCCUCUUGAACCAGAUGAGCAGCCACCGGAAACAGAAGCAGAGAGAGCCGGAGUCCUGGGAAUCUGGGGGAUGACAUGGAGCCCACUCAGCCUUGCCCAGCGCUGGGACUGAGAGUUUGAGAAGUCAUCCUGACUGGAAGACCUUCCCCAAGUCUAG